rnacentral:lncRNA from 1 species
AGGGGGCCCUAAGGCAGCGAGUCCACCUCUCAGGAGAGGAAACGGAAGACUAGGACAGCAGUAACUGGUCCGAGACGAAAAGCAGGAGAGCUGGGCCCGGAUCCAUGUCCAGCGGCUUGCAGCUCACACCUGGAGUCACACUGAAACAAUGGAUUGGCCAGGGCCACUGAGGUUUGGUUUUGGAACAGACACAAGAACAUGUGCGCAGCUUUUCUUGCACGGCUGUCCCCGCGUGGACAUCUGUCGUCUUGGCGUGCCCAGCAUUCUCUCCCUGCCUUUGGGUGGCCUCCUCCCAGUUUUCCCGUGGAAUGCUCUCUGCUCGCAGCCCCCGGGAUUCAGGAGUGGUUCACGGGUGUCGCCGGGGACCGGGGGAGAGGGGAGCGGUCUUGUGCAGGUGUCAUUGCAUGGCAGCCAGCACAAGUGCUUUCAAUGAGAGCCCAGCUGAACGCUCCCGACCCACACAGCUGCUCUGCCCAGCUGUUGGGUUCCCAGGUUCCUGCCGGGACUGGAGAGCUGGGAUCAUCUCCAGAUUACUUCCCAGGCCGCGUCAGCGC